UACGUAGGGGGCGAGCGUUGUCCGGAUUUAUUGGGCGUAAAGAGCUCGUAGGCGGUUUGGUAAGUCGGGUGUGAAAUCUCCACGCUCAACUGGAGGGCCACUCGAUACUGCCCUGACUAGAGUCCGGUAGAGGAGUAUGGAAUUCCCGGUGUAGCGGUGAAAUGCGCCAGAUAUCAGGAAGAACACCCGUGGCUAAGGCGGCUCUCUAGUACGGUACUGGAGCUGAAGACGCGAAAGCGUGGGAGCGAACAGG
rnacentral:rRNA from 1 species